GAUGAACGCUAGCUACAGGCUUAACACAUGCAAGUCGAGGGGUAACGAGAGGAAAGCUUGCUUUCCUUGUCGACGACCGGCGCACGGGUGAGUAACGCGUAUCCAACCUGCCCCCAACUAGGGAAUAACCUUGCGAAAGUAAGACUAAUACCCUAUAAUUUCCUCAGAUGACAUCUGACGAGGAAUAAAGAUUUAUCGGUUGUGGAUGGGGAUGCGUCGGAUUAGCUUGUUGGCGGGGUAACGGCCCACCAAGGCAACGAUCAGUAGGGGUUCUGAGAGGAAGGUCCCCCACAUUGGAACUGAGACACGGUCCAAACUCCUACGGGAGGCAGCAGUGAGGAAUAUUGGUCAAUGGGCGGAAGCCUGAACCAGCCAAGUAGCGUGCAGAAUGACGGCCCUAUGGGUUGUAAACUGCUUUUAUACAGGAAUAAAGUUAGCCACGUGUGGUUAUUUGUAGGUACUGUAUGAAUAAGGACCGGCUAAUUCCGUGCCAGCAGCCGCGGUAA
rnacentral:rRNA from 1 species